GUGAAGUAAGCAGCGAUACAUGCAUUUAAAACCAUACAAUAGAUAAACCAGAUACUAUAAUGCAUUUAAACUGUAAAAUAAAUCAAACAGGAAUCGACAGAGAAUAAUGUUCGGUUCGGGCUCCAUUAGCAACCAUAAUUAAUUAUGCAUGUCUAUUUAAUUUGUACAAAAUACAGUAUUAUCAUUUAUUCAAACUUCAAUUACAUGAUAGAAAAUAGGGUGAGGGGUUCUUACUUGAUUCGACGCUGAAAACUAGAUGGUUACUGCGUCUACGGGCGGUCCCUUGGUUUCCUGAAUUUUCUUUCGAAAACUGAAAUGCGCUUACGGUACCUACAAGUGUCACAAAUAAACCCAAAAAUCAAACCCAUGGCCUACUCAGCCAAUUUCAGAAUUCCGGCACGGCAGCUCCACUGUGCUCCGGCGACGGCACCGCCGCCCGCUAUGGUGAUCCACCUCGGGUUGUCUGCUUUCGGCCAUUUUCGUCCGAACUUACACCAGUUCCUGCGAUAAAACACACUUAGGGCCCUCGGUGGGCUGAAAAAAUACAAAAAAUCGAAACUCACCGGCGGUGGGGCUCUCAGGUGCGGCGGCUCCUCCGAUUCACGUUGCGGUUGGGUGUUUUACUUCGGUCAACCUGUAGAGAAGGAAAUGAUGGUCACAACAAUGAAAAAUCACAUCGAACGGGAAUCGGGAAGGGCCUCACUGGAGGCAUUUUUCGAAACACCCCGUGACGGCGACACCGAGCUUCAACGGCAUUUUUUGGUCAAUCAGCCGGUUCUUUCACUCUGAUUUGGCCAUAGGUGGAUUUAAAAUUGAAUUUCGUGUAGGAGGGGAAAUGUUUACCUCGUUUGGCGGUUGGAUAAUGCUCCUAUACGGUGGCGGGUGGCGGCGAUCGGCUCCCCAGCGGCUGGGGUAUCUUCUCUAGCGAUAGGCUCUGACGGCUAGGGUUAGGGUUUGAGUGCGGAUGGGGUUAUUUAUACUCAUCCUCUUUUGAUCUGGGCCGUCCAUCACUUUUAAUCUGGACCAUCCGAUCGCGAUUAAAUAGGGAGUGAAUAUGGACCGUUCAUCGCAAUUUAAUCUGGACCGUCUGUGCGCGAUUCAAUCUGCACCGUCCGUGCGCGAUGCAAUCUGGGUCGUCCGUGCGCGUUUUCAAUCUGGGUCGUCCGUGCAUGCGGGAACGGAUCUCAGCUGUACGAUCACGCGCACGCGGAUCGCCCACAUGGCUCCCCUCGCGUGGCCUCCCGCGUCAGCGCCUCUGCCACCUGGCGUGUCCUAGUUGGUCGGGGCUGCUGACCGGGCAACUGACGUGGCAUAACUUUUCUAAAUUAUAAUUUGACCUCUGGUUUCUGAUUUUUCUUUCAAAAAUACCCCUAGAACCCAAAUUUUCACUCCUUUUUUCCAAAAUUAUUUUUAAUUAAAUCCAUAACUAAUUUUUUUACCCUUUUUAUUAUUAUUAUUAUUAUUAUUAUUAUUAUUUUCAUUAAAUCAAAUUAAAAUAAAUUAAAUUAAAAUAAAAUCAUAUAAAUAAUAAUCAUAUUUAUAUAUAAAUAAUAAUAAUUAAAUAAAAAUAAAAAUAAUUAAAUGUUAGGUGUUACAAUAUAUCCCUAUACUCUUAA
rnacentral:lncRNA from 1 species